rnacentral:rRNA from 1 species
ACUCAAUAGAUACCCGGGUAGUCCACGCCCUAAACGAUGUCAACUGGUUGUUGGUCCUUCACUGGAUCAGUAAACGAAAGCUAAACGCGUGAAGUUGACCGCCUGGGGAGUACGGCCGCAAGGUUGAAACUCAAAGGAAUUGACGGGGACUCGCACAAGCGGUGGAUGAUGUGGUUUAAAUUCGAUGCAACGCGAAAAACCUUACCUACCCUUGACAUGUCUGGAAUGGUGCAGAGAUGUGCCAGUGCCCGAAAGGGAGCCAGAACACAGGUGCUGCAUGGCUGUCGUCAGCUCGUGUCGUGAGAUGUUGGGUUAAGUCCCGCAACGAGCGCAACCCUUGUCAUUAGUUGCUACGAAAGGGCACUCUAAUGAGACUGCCGGUGACAAACCGGAGGAAGGUGGGGAUGACGUCAAGUCCUCAUGGCCCUUAUGGGUAGGGCUACACACGUCAUACAAUGGCUGGUACAGAGGGUUGCCAACCCGCGAGGGGAGCUAAUCCCAUAAAACCAGUCGUAGUCCGGAUCGUAGUCUGC